GAGGGUACAGCUCAGUGGCAGAGUGCAUGCUUAGUAUGCACAAGGUUCUAGGUUCAACUCCCAGUACCUCUA
rnacentral:tRNA from 1 species